rnacentral:misc_RNA from 1 species
AACCUUAUGGACCUGCGGGCGUAUACCUGCGGAAGGAUCAUUAUUGAAUAAACUUGGUCAAGCUGUUGCUGGUCCUUCGGGGCAUGUGCACGCUUGCCACCAAUUUUAACCACCUGUGCACCUUUUGUAGAUUGGAAACGUUUCUCGAGGCAACUCGGAUUGAGGACUGCUGUGCGCAAGCCAGCUGUUCUUGUGUUUCUCAAUCUAUGUUUUUAUAUACUCCUAAUGUAUGUAUCAGAA